CCUACGGGAGGCAGCAGGGGGGAAUAUUGCACAAUGGACGAAAGUCUGACGGAGCAACGCCGCGUGAGCGAAGAAGGUCUUCGGAUCGUAAAGCUCUGUUGUUAGGGAAGAACAAGUACGGGAGGAAAUGACCGUACCGUGACGGUACCUAACGAGGAAGCCACGGCUAACUACGUGCCAGCAGCCGCGGUAAUACGUAGGUGGCAAGCGUUGGACGGAAUUAUUGGGCGUAAAGCGCGCGCAGGCGGUCUUUUAAGUCUGAUGUGAAAUCUUGCGGCUCAACCGCAAGCGGUCAUUGGAAACUGGGAGACUUGAGCGCAGAAGCGGAAAGCGGAAUUCCACGUGUAGCGGUAAAAUGCGUAGAGAUGUGGCGGAACACCAGUGGCGCAGGCGGCUUUCUGGUCUGUAACUGACGCUGAGGCGCGAAAGCGUGGGGAGCAAACAGGAUUAGAUACCCGUGUAGUC
rnacentral:rRNA from 1 species